rnacentral:rRNA from 1 species
CCUGGCUCAGAUUGAACGCUAGCGGGAUGCUUUACACAUGCAAGUCGAACGGCAGCGCGAGAGAGCUUGCUCUCUUGGCGGCGAGUGGCGGACGGGUGAGUAAUAUAUCGGAACGUGCCCAGUAGCGGGGGAUAACUACUCGAAAGAGUGGCUAAUACCGCAUACGCCCUACGGGGGAAAGGGGGGGAUCGCAAGACCUCUCACUAUUGGAGCGGCCGAUAUCGGAUUAGCUAGUUGGUGGGGUAAAGGCUCACCAAGGCAACGAUCCGUAGCUGGUUUGAGAGGACGACCAGCCACACUGGGACUGAGACACGGCCCAGACUCCUACGGGAGGCAGCAGUGGGGAAUUUUCCGCAAUGGGGGGAACCCUGACGGAGCAACGCCGCGUGCGGGAGGAAGGCCUUCGGGUUGUAAACCCGCUUUUCUCUGGGAAGAAGAACUGACGGACCA